CGGCAGCACGGGCUUCGGCCUGGUGGCGAGUGGCGAACGGGUGAGUAAUACAUCGGAACGUACCCAGAAGUGGGGGAUAACGCAGCGAAAGUUGCGCUAAUACCGCAUACGUUCUACGGAAGAAAGUGGGGGAUCGCAAGACCUCAUGCUUUUGGAGCGGCCGAUGUCUGAUUAGCUAGUUGGUAGGGUAAAGGCCUACCAAGGCGACGAUCAGUAGCUGGUCUGAGAGGACGACCAGCCACACUGGAACUGAGACACGGUCCAGACUCCUACGGGAGGCAGCAGUGGGGAAUUUUGGACAAUGGGCGCAAGCCUGAUCCAGCAAUGCCGCGUGAGUGAAGAAGGCCUUCGGGUUGUAAAGCUCUUUUGUCAGGGAAGAAACGGUUCCGGCUAAUAUCUGGAGCUAAUGACGGUACCUGAAGAAUAAGCACCGGCUAACUACGUGCCAGCAGCCGCGGUAAUACGUAGGGUGCAAGCGUUAAUCGGAAUUACUGGGCGUAAAGCGUGCGCAGGCGGUUUUGUAAGUCUGUCGUGAAAGCCCCGGGCUCAACCUGGGAAUUGCGAUGGAGACUGCAAGGCUUGAAUCUGGCAGAGGGGGGUAGAAUUCCACGUGUAGCAGUGAAAUGCGUAGAGAUGUGGAGGAACACCGAUGGCGAAGGCAGCCCCCUGGGUCAAGAUUGACGCUCAUGCACGAAAGCGUGGGGAGCAAACAGGAUUAGAUACCCUGGUAGUCCACGCCCUAAACGAUGUCUACUAGUUGUC
rnacentral:rRNA from 2 species